GCAGUCUCUGCUCACUGCAACCUCUGCCUCCCAGGUUCAAGUGAUUCUCCUGCCUCAGCCUCCCGAGUAGCUGGGAUUACAGGCACCUGCCACCAUGCCUGGCUAAUUUUUUGUAUUUUUAGUAGAGACAGGGGUUUCACCAUGUUGGCCAGGCUGGUCUCGAACUCCUGACCUCAUGUGAUCUGCCCACCUUGGCCUCCCAAAGUGCCAGGAUUACAGGCGUGAGCCACCAUGCCUGGCCCUCUUAGACUUUCUAUUGGAAAGCAAUCAACUUUAUAUUGCCCAGUUAAUGACAUGUG
rnacentral:lncRNA from 1 species